GCAGGUGGGUGGUGGACGACACUCAGCUGAAGUAUCCCACGCUGCCCAGAGAGGAGCAAGUCAACUGAGGCUAGGCGGUGGGAUGGCGAGGGCCAGCUGGCCAGCCGGGGCUGCUGGGGGAUUUGGAGCGGCGACAACGGGCAGCCACUGCCAGGCACCGCGUGGACAUGCCAGCUGUUGUCCGACACCUGCCACCCACACCACAGAGGUGGGCGGACCGGAGACCCAGUGUCAUCACUCGGGUCUGUAGCUGCCAUUUUCCAGUGGGAAAGAGAAAUGAACCUGUACUUACCAGAAAAGGUAGCUCAUCCACCAUGGCAGAAGAAGCAGACCCAGACUGUUGAUUUGAAAACAAUAACAAAACACGAGGCAUGAGGAUUGGGUGUUGAGCGACCACUUGUCACAUUGUCCAAGUCCAACAGGAGUGCAUCCCUAAGGCCAUCCGGUGCAUGGACAUCCUGUGCCAGUGGGAUCCGACUGCGAGCGUCCAGUUGUGGAGACUACAGCACAUCGAGCCUGUGGAAGGACAGGUCAGUAACUCAUUAAAUCAUUUAAUAUAACACAAUAUUGUAUUUGCAACAAAAUGUUUAAUUUGGGUCCCAUUUUUGGGGGGGACAUGAGGCGUGACAUGCGGAACGUCAGGCUCACCUCACAAGAAGCAGUGCAUGAUCAACGCCACCCUCAGCAAGGAGAUCUGCUGAAAGUGAUGCACUCUCUCUCUCACUAUCGGGAUCGUGGUGAAGGAUUUGCACCCUGUGAUGUGAUCGCAUGCACACUGUGUAGUAUGUAGAUUGCACAGCUUUAUGCAACCAUACAGUUACUCUGCUGUACCAGGUGGCACAUUAUUCACAGCUCAAAAACCCAGUGGUCCCAACAGUCCUUAGCUGCACAGAGAGCGAGCAGUGUUGGCACAAGCCAAGAACUACGUUAAGUCUGGGUGUGGAUAGAUA